rnacentral:lncRNA from 10 species
AAUGACCUGCUUAGAGUUCUGCACCCCCCAGCAUGGAGAGCAGAGCGCAAAGAUUUCUUCCGGACUCCCACAUUCCCCUUGGAAUCCAAGAACUGGUCUACUGUCACAACACUUUAGUACCCUCUUAUGGAGUUUCGCUCUUGUUGCCCAGGCUGGAGUGCAAUGGCACAAUCUCGGCUCACCGCAACCUCUGCCUCCCAGGUUCAAGCGAUUCUCCUGCCUCAGCCUCCCGAGUAGCUGGGAUUACAGCUCCCAAGGAGGCAGCAGAAACUGGGGUAAUCACAACGGUCAACAGCAGCAAAGGCAGCACUUUCUGAUUUACUUGACUGCUAUGGAUGCCACCUCUCUCCACGCCUCAGUUUAAUAUCUGUAAGUUUGGACAGGAGGUGUCCUGGUGAUCAGCUGGAGCUCGGGGGAGCUGUUGCUGAAAUUAACUUGAGUGCUUUGGAGAGAGAUUUACAUGGCAGAGUGGAGCCAGGGCUGCUCCUUUGGCAGGCACUGCUGUGCCACUGUGGAGGCGCCCCUGCUUUUCCCAUGCUUUGCAGUGUCUUUAAA